UGAACGCUGGCGGCAUGGCUAAAACAUGCAAGUCGAACGACUAGCAAUAGAAGUGGCGAAAGGGCGAGGAAUAGAUUCCCACGUACCCCGAGGCCAGGGAUACCUCAGAGAAAUCUGAGACAAUACCUGAUGACAUCGGAAACGAUCAAAGGUUUACCACCUUGGGAGCGGGGAAUCUCCUAUCAGCUAGUUGGUGAGGUAAUGGCUCACCAAGGCGAAGACGGGUAGCGGGUGUGAGAGCACGGCCCGCCGCAUCGAGACUGAGACACUGCUCGGACUCCUACGGGAGGCUGCAGUAACGAAUCUUCCGCAAUGCACGAAAGUGUGACGGGGCAAUGCCGCGUGUGGGAUGAAGCCCUUCGGGGUGUAAACUACUGUCAGGGACUACCAACAACAUGAGGAGUCCCAAAGGAAGAGCCGGCUAACUCUGUGCCAGCAGCCGCGGUAAUACAGAGGGCUCGAGCGUUAAUCGGAAUCACUGGGCUUAAAGCGUGCGUAGGCGGAUUUGAAGGCGCUUUGUGAAAUCCCUCGGCUCAACCGAGGAACUGCUUGGCGAACCACAAAUCUUGAGGCUGGUAGAGGUGGUCGGAACAAUAGGUGGAGCGGUGAAAUGCGUAGAUAUCGGGAGGAACACCAGUGGCGAAGGCGGCUCUGGCUUGUGCCUGACUCUGAAACGCGAAAGCAUGGGUAGCAAACAGGAUUAGAACCCUGGUAGUCCAUGCCAUAAACGAU
rnacentral:rRNA from 1 species